rnacentral:lncRNA from 1 species
UGCGGCUGAAGUCACAGUGACGGCGAGGGCUUCGGAUCGAGCUCUAUUGAGUCGUUCUAGGGGUUCCUGCGCGAAGUAGGAUGCCAGAAUGGCAUAUGAGAUCCUGGAGAAGAGAAUAGGUGCAAGAGGAGAUGCUAGGAACCUUCAGAGGCGAUGAAAUCGACCGGCGGGGUGCUCCUGCAGCGGCGGACUCCGGCGAGAUUGGAUCCGGGCGAAACGGGCAUGGGAAGACAAAAUUUUGCCAAAAAUCGGUAGAGAAGAAGAUGGGGAAUAGUUAUAGAGUGGAUUCCGUGGCCUAGGGGCAAAGACUGGCCGAAUCGGC